rnacentral:rRNA from 1 species
UACGUAGGGGGCAAGCGUUGUCCGGAAUCAUUGGGCGUAAAGCGCGCGUAGGCGGCUCAGUAAGUCCGCUCUGAAAGCUUGGGGCUUAACCCCAAGAGGCGGGCGGAUACUGCUGGGCUCGAGUCCGGAAGAGGCGAGUGGAAUUCCUGGUGUAGCGGUGAAAUGCGCAGAUAUCAGGAAGAACACCAAUGGCGAAAGCAGCUCUCUGGGACGGUACUGACGCUGAGACGCGAAAGCGUGGGGAGCGAACAGG